GAGUUUGAUCCUGGCUCAGGACGAACGCUGGCGGUGCGCCUUAUGCAUGCAAGUUGAGCGAAGCUUUUUGGUAGUUUACUACUAGAAAUGACUGAGCGGCGAACGGGUGAGUAACGCGUGAGCAAUCUACCUUAGUUACUGGGAUAGCCCGAGGAAACUCGGAUUAAUACCGGAUAUUCUUAUUUUUUCACAUGAAGUUUUAAGGAAAGGUCAGCCAAACUAAGAUGAGCUCGCGUUCUAUCAGCUAGUUGGUGGGGUAAAAGCCUACCAAGGCUACGACGGAUAGCUGGUCUGAGAGGACGAUCAGCCACACUGGGACUGAGACACGGCCCAGACUCCUACGGGAGGCUGCAGCAGGGAAUAUUGUGCAAUGAGCGAAAGCUUGACACAGCGACACCGCGUGUGGGAUGACGGUUCUAGGAUUGUAAACCACUUUCAGGAGGGAAGAAAAUGACGGUACCUCCACAAGAAGACCCGGCCAACUAUGUGCCAGCAGCCGCGGUAAUACAUAGGGGUCAAGCGUUGUCCGGAUUUAUUGGGCGUAAAGAGCUCGUAGGCGGUUCAACAAGUCGGUCGUAAAAGUUUAGGGCUCAACCCUAAAAUGUCGAUCGAUACUGUUGUGACUAGGAUACGGUAGAGGUGAAUGGAAUUCCGAGUGUAGCGGUGAAAUGCGUAGAUAUUCGGAGGAACACCAAUUGCGAAGGCAGUUCACUGGACCGUGAUCGACGCUGAGGAGCGAAAGCUAGGGGAGCAAACAGGAUUAGAUACCCUGGUAGUCCUAGCUGUAAACGAUGGAUACUAGAUGUAGGAACUGGAUUGACGGUUUCUGUAUCGUAGCUAACGCGUUAAGUAUCCCGCCUGGGGAGUACGGUCGCAAGACUAAAACUCAAAGGAAUUGACGGGACCCCGCACAAGCGGCGGAGCAUGCGGCUUAAUUCGAUGAUACCCGUAGAACCUUACCUGGACUUGACAUAUAGGGAAAAACUGGAGAAAUCCAGUGUGCGUAAGCGCCCUAUACAGGUGGUGCAUGGCGGUCGUCAGCUCGUGUCGUGAGAUGUUGGGUUAAGUCCCGCAACGAGCGCAACCCCUGUCCUAUGUUGCCAGCAAGUAAUGUUGGGGACUCAUAGGAGACUGCCGGUGAUAAACCGGAGGAAGGUGGGGACGACGUCAAGUCAUCAUGCCCCUUAUGUCCAGGGCUGCACGCAUGCUACAAUGGCAAGUACAACGAGUCGCAAUACCGCGAGGUGGAGCAAAUCUCUUAAAGCUUGUCUCAGUUCGGAUAGGAGUCUGCAACUCGACUCCUUGAAGUUGGAGUCGCUAGUAAUCGCAAAUCAGCAAAGUUGCGGUGAAUACGUUCUCGGGGUUUGUACACACCGCCCGUC
rnacentral:rRNA from 1 species